AAGAGAAGCGAGAACGCGUGUGUAAAUACGCGGCUCCGGAGGCGGGGCAGCCUUCUAAAGGAAGCUUGGGAGUCCUGAAGGACUGAGUCCCGAGUGAAUGUGUGUAGCGCCCUAAUACCGGGCCGAGAGAGAGGCAUGUGCCAGUGUAGCUCUGUUCCCAUCAUUAUACCCUAUUUCUCUCCACCUCGAACCUUCACAAAUACCGGAGGAAUGUUUUUAACCCAAAUAGUUGACCUUUCCCCUCAAUGCAAAACCAUUUGCUGCUGCGGACUGGUUUUGAACAGUAUCCAGUUCGCCAGCGUCUCUAACACUUCAUAUUCAGCCACAGUAACUCCGCACAUGCAAGGGUAUUUUGCGCACCUCUCGGCCUUUGUCCGUGGGGGCCUUCCCACCUAGAAUACUUUCUCCACUACCCCUCCUGCUGAAGCUCAGGAAUAAUUCCUUUUGUUCCUGCCGUCUUAGCUCACUCUGAAAAGCCUUCCUACCAUCCUGGACCCACGGGCUUCUUCCCCCGCCCCCCUAUGUAACUCCUGAUCACUCAGGCCUAUGGUUCUCAUGUGACAACCCUGACCACUCUGGGUUCUCAGUCUGGCAACUUGUCUUUUCCUUAGCAGUAAGUCCUGUGUGGGCAAAGGUGCGGUGGUCCCUGUCUGGACCUUAAUGAAGCUGGCCCACCUACCAGGUAGCCCCAGGUACAGCACCCGAAUGCUGGAGCUCUGCGGAGUCAUGAUGACAUAAGCCUCUGCGAGCCUACCUUCCUCGAGAGCGGGCUAGGGCCACCAUGCUGCGAUCACUACGACGCCCCAAUAGCUGGACUUAGAAUCUCGCCCUAAGGGCUCUAACGUUAUGGGACUGUCCGCUGUGGGGACAACUGCACUCAGAAAGGCAGGAUAGAGUUGCAGAAUAUGCGAGGGACGUCCCCAAAAGAUUCUCCAGAACCUUCCACCGGCUGAAGGGGGUUCCCGAAAGAGGCUUGCGGAAAAGAGACGGGGGAGCGGCGCGCGGCUUCCACACGUGACCAAUGCGGCGGGAGCGACGCGGGACUGGCCCAUGGAAGGGCGGGGUCGCGAGGUCCCUACGUCAGAGGAAUGCGGUGGGGGAGGGGGAAGAGGAGCCCCUCCCCGCCCCGCCCCCGCGCCCGGCCCGGACGCCCCUCGCGCCGGCGCAGGCGGACGUGAAGCGGCGGGACCGUCCCCGGCGACGCGCAUUCCAGGUCGCUCGCCCUCUCGCGCGCGCCCAAGGCGAGCGGCCUGGCGGCCACAUUAUCAGCAACCCCCUCCUGCGCUCCCGGCCGCCGCCCCUCCCCCACCCCUCGCACUCGGGCCAAGGCGGCGGCCUCGGUUGGCGCCUCCCAGGCAUACCCCCACAUCCCUCCUCGCCCCCUCGCUCCCAGCCCCUACCAGCUCGGCGGCGAACCUGGCCGGCCGUCCGG